rnacentral:sRNA from 7 species
UGUAUCUGAAGUCUGACGAGGAUGAGAACCUCCGGGGGCAAGAGGUUCGACCCGAGCGAAGCGAGAGAACGUUGCGUCAGCAACGGCCCGCAGGGCGAGCCACCCUCUAUCACCGGCAG